rnacentral:rRNA from 1 species
AACGAACGCUGGCGGCAUGCCUAACACAUGCAAGUCGAACGAGACCUUCGGGUCUAGUGGCGCACGGGUGCGUAACGCGUGGGAACCUGCCCUUAGGUUCGGAAUAACUCCCCGAAAGGGGUGCUAAUACCGGAUAAUGUCUUCGGACCAAAGAUUUAUCGCCUUUGGAUGGGCCCGCGUUGGAUUAGCUAGUUGGUAGGGUAAAAGCCUACCAAGGCGACGAUCCAUAGCUGGUCUGAGAGGAUGAGCAGCCACACUGGGACUGAGACACGGCCCAGAAUCCUACGGGAGGCAGCAGUGGGGAAUAUUGGACAAUGGGCGAAAGCCUGAUCCAGCAAGGCCGCGUGAGUGAUGAAGGCCUGAGGGUUGUAAAGCUCUUUUACCCGGGAUGAUAAUGACAGUACCGGGAGAAUAAGCUCCGGCUAACUCCGUG